UCCUCAUUGGCAGAUGAAGUGUACUAAUUUUAGGUUUUAGGGAUGUAAGAGUUUAAAUUACAUGGGGGA
rnacentral:tRNA from 1 species